AGCCGAUCCAGAGGAGUGCCUCUGAGAACACAAGCGCGGGUUCCUUUGUCAGGUGCUUUGGAUCGCCUGCAAUUGUGUUCUCAGGUCACCCCUUUGGUCGCUUC
rnacentral:pre_miRNA from 1 species